rnacentral:misc_RNA from 1 species
CGGAUAUAGGCGACCCACCUUCCACAGGGAUCCUUUCUUUAUCCGCCACCCAAACCCGGCGAACCGCCCGCCCCGCCGCGCCAGCCAAUCCCCACCUCAAAUAACCCCCGUCGACCGCGGCCGCGGCCCCACCCGCCCGCCGAGGGGAAAUAAUAACAAACAAAGCGCGCACAUCCACACGCCACUGCCGCACGAAUCGAGCCGCCGAAAAGGCGCAGGCGAAGCCAGCGGGGAGAGAAAACGGGCGGGAUCCCCACCGCCUCGCGCGCAGCGGCGGCGGCGGCGGCAAUGGAGGUCACCUCCUCCCCCUCGCCUUCCGCGCCGCCGCCGGCCUCCUCGAAGCCGGCGCUCCAGCUCAACCCCGCGGCCGUCCUCCUCCGCCGCCUGCCGACCCCGACCCCAACAGCGGCGACGCCCGUCACCGCGACGGCGCCCCCCGCGCGGCCCGCCACCGCGUCCAACCCGCUCGCGGCCUUGCUCGUCCCCUUCUGGCGCGGGCUGCGGCGAGCGCCGAAACAGCCGGUCCACCCCGCCUCCGCCGCCGCGGCGCGGAGGGCGGCGGAGCAGCAGGAGGCGGAGGCCGAGGCGGAGGCGCGGCAGCUGGUGGGGUGCGCGGUGCCGCUGUUCCGGCCGUACGUGGCACAGCUGCCGUGGCACGGCGGCGCGCGGGCGUGGCUGUCGAAGCUGUUCCCGCGCUACGGCCACUACUGCGGGCCCAACUGGUCCAGCGGCAAGGAGGCCGGCUCCGUGCUCUGGGACCGCCGCCCCGUCGACCACCUCGACUUCUGCUGCUACUGCCACGACAUGGCCUACGACACCCACGACCAGGCCCAGCUCCUCCGCGCCGACCUCGCCUUCCUCCGCUGCCUCGAGGGCAGUCGGCACACGCCCGCGCGCGACGGCAUCGCCGCCGCAGCCAUCUACCGCGCCAUGUGCAUCUUCGGACUGAAGACGAUCCUGAUCCCGUACCGGACGAACCUCGUGCGGCUGCAGACGGGGCCCAACUACGCGGAUUUCUUCGCCGAUUUCGUGAAGAGGGUCGCGUCGUCGUCGGGCAGGCCGACCGGCGGCGAGAAGCAGAGGCUGUGAACGAAUUUGCUCGCCUCGUCCUACAUGUAAAGGUGGUAGAUCGAGCCGAAUUGGUUGGGGCCUUGGGGGGAUGAGAUCGUAGUGAUUGUCUAUAUAGGUAGCUUGAGUUUUUUUUUAAUCCAGAUAUGGCCAGGGAAAUUGAGUCUUCCUGUGUGUGUGUGUCUAAUUGGGUAAUUGUAGCAACUGAUUCGAAAUUUAAACUUUGGGGUUUCUACUGUGAAUAUAGCAAAUGUCUAAUUGGGUAACAGUGGGUUGCAUAGCUAUUAGCAAAUGUGGUGAUGCCCUUUGUUGAAAAGAGAAU